rnacentral:rRNA from 1 species
GGAAUCUUCGGCAAUGGGGGCAACCCUGACCGAGCAACGCCGCGUGAGUGAAGAAGGUUUUCGGAUCGUAAAACUCUGUUGUUAAAGAAGAACAUAUCUGAGAGUAACUGUUCAGGUAUUGACGGUAUUUAACCAGAAAGCCACGGCUAACUACGUGCCAGCAGCCGCGGUAAUACGUAGGUGGCAAGCGUUGUCCGGAUUUAUUGGGCGUAAAGCGAGCGCAGGCGGUUUUUUAAGUCUGAUGUGAAAGCCUUCGGCUCAAACGAAGAAGUGCAUCGGAAACUGGGAAACUUGAGUGCAGAAGAGGACAGUGGAACUCCAUGUGUAGCGGUGAAAUGCGUAGAUAUAUGGAAGAACACCAGUGGCGAAGGCGGCUGUCUGGUCUGUAACUGACGCUGAGGCUCGAAAGUAUGGGUAGCAAACA